CGGAGAGUUUGAUCCCGGCUCAGGAUAAACGCUGGCGGUGUGCCUAAUGCAUGCAAGUCGAACGGUCCUUCGGGACAGUGGCGAACGGGUGAGUAACACGUAAGCAACCUGCCCCUAAGUGGGGGAUAACUUCGGGAAACCGGAGCUAAUACCGCAUGUGGUGGCCCUUCAACAGAAGGGUCAUUAAAGCCUUCGGGCGCUUGGGGAGGGGCUUGCGUCUGAUUAGCUUGUUGGUGAGGUAACGGCCCACCAAGGCAAUGAUCGGUAGCUGGUCUGAGAGGAUGGUCAGCCACACUGGGACUG
rnacentral:rRNA from 1 species